ensembl:lncRNA
CGGAGACAGCAGACUUAAUAAUUGUAUAGUAUCAGACUUCUUUAAGCAUGUUCCUCCCGUAGAAGAGGAUUCGACCAACUUCAGGAGAUAUUUUAGUAAUCCUGUCGCUGCUAAGCGUCAUUAUCUGGCAGAAGGCAUCACGGACUGGCAAGACAGCAGAGGUGCUACGGGAGAUCCUUGAGGCUUAUGACCUUCAGGAAGAACAUGAUGUCAAUUUGAGACGCACUUUGUCCCUUCGUGCACUUCCUGUCUACCUGCGUGAGGAUGUUUCGGUGUUCAAGACCUGCAAUGAGGAAGAGGAGCCAGAUUUUGAUGAUGCUCCUGUUGCUCUCCUUACAUCGGGUCCCGACCCCUUCAGCUGCGAGAACAUCUUUGAAUUGGGUGCAGAGGUUUUCUGAGGCAUUUAUGUUGUUGUUUGGCCUGACAUAUGCUUUCAAUUUAGAAUAUCCCAAAAAACUCACGCACACAUUCUCAUACAG